UUAAAUAAAUGUUUAAUAAAUAUUUUUGUUAUAAUGAAUUGUACAAUGAAAAAUUAAUAUUAAAUAAAUAUUAAAAAAACAUUAAAAAAAUGUUGUGUGCUGAUUGGAACACUGUAUUCAAAGGACGUUCUUGGGACGUUUAAGUCCUAAGCCGAGUCUAAGGACGUCUUUAGAUCGUCCAAAUCUUAAGUCGAUCCUAAGGACGUCCUCUGAUCGUCUCUCUGUGUCAUAUGGCACAAACUAGGAAAGCUAAGGGAAAAUAGAAAAAUUCACGGUUAUAUUACUUUUCCACACUCCUACAUUGUCAAAUAACUAACUCCUUUAAUGUUAAAACUUUUAUUUAAUAAAAAUUUGAAUUUGAGCAAAAAAAUUUGAAAUUAAGAAUUUCGCUUUAAACAAAAAAGACCAAGACUGCCUACGGAAGGUUAAUCCAGAAUAUAUAUAAUAUCUAAGUAAGUAUUUAAACAAUUUAAGAAAGUUUUUAUUAUAAAUUACACUUAAACAUAUAAACUAAUUCUAAUAAAAAAAACGUGAUAUUACUUAAUCUCGUUCAAUUUAGAAUUGUGUAAUGACUGAAAAUUAAUUCGGCGCGCAGUUCAUUGAACUUGAGGAAAGUAUGUAAAAUCACAUAGGCUGCGGUCCGAUUCACGCUCACAGCGCUCACUGUACUCACGACGCUCAUGAUCGGUCCGAUUCGUUAGGAUGCUUAAGGCGCUUGACGACAAUAAACGUUUUGGACCACUUGUAAACGCUACUCAUAGGGAUAUAACCUAAGAUACCUAGCAUAAGGAGGCCUUAGUCAAGUAUCUUAAUUUUAGAAACCAGCCUCGAGGAAAGAAAAAUGAAUAUUCAGUGUAAGGUCGCAGCAUUACAAUUGAUGGAAAUUGCUUUAGAGGAGUCUGAUAGUGAGGAUUUGAAUCGUUUAUUUUAUUCAUCUUCAAGCGAUGAUGAGGAAACUAUAAAAAAUUUGCAUGCUGCUUUAAUUAUAAGUAAACAAAAAAAAAUUGAACAGAAGAUCUCGGAUUCAAGACUUUAUAGAAAGAUUUAUCUCAGGGUACACAGCACAAAAAUUUAAAACACAUUUUUAAUUACUUCCAACGAUCUUCGACCAUGUUUUAAGAUUGAUUGGACCAAGUUUGACUUCUACAAAGUCAGUUGCAGAUAGAAAGCCUAUUCCAGCAAAAAAGCAAUUGUUAAUGGCUCUUUGGAUGAUGACUACACCAGACUCAUACAGAUCUGUGUGUAUGAAAUUUGAUUUGGGAAAGGCGACGGCAAUUCGCGCUAUGAGACGAGUUACAUACGCCUUGCACACCUUAGCUCCUCAAAUUAUUCAGUGGCCUCAAGGAAGAAAGCUACUGAAGUAAUGAUAGCAUUUGAGCGUGUGAGUGUAUUUCCACGUGUAAUAGGAGCCAUAGAUGGCACUCAUGUGGAAAUACGAUCUCCUCGGGAUGAUAAUCAUCAAGCAUACAUUAAUAGAAAAGGAUACGCAUCAAUUCAUGUGCAGGCUGUGUGUACCCAAAAUUUAUUAUUUACAAUCAUGUUUCCUGGGAAUGCUGGCUCUGUGCAUGACGCACGAAUUUUUAGAAUCUCUCCAGUGGCUCGGUACUUUGAGAAUCCAGAAAAAUAUUUCUGUAAUGAUAGUCAUCUUGUUGGUGAUGCUGCAUAUGAUAUACAUACCAAUAUGAUGGUAUCGUUUAAAGACAAUGGUCAUUUGAGCCUUAGACAAAAGAAUUUCAACUUUUGUCACUCAUCAGCUCGAAAGGCAAUUGAAAGGGUCUUUGGUGUUUGGAAAGCGCGAUGGAGAAGUAUUUUAGAUUGUUUACCCAUGAUUACGUUAGAAAAAAUACCAGAAUACUAUUGGCAACUGCAGUCUUACAUAACAUUUGUAUCAUAAAUAAUGAUUUAUUUGAUAUAAAUAAUAUUGAUGUGCCAAAUCAAAAUCAACACAUCCAGCACGGAAUAUUAAUAUCGGAUAGAACAAAUGAAGGCAACAGAAAACGACAAAGAAUAAUGAACAAUUUGGUAAUGAGAGAUAAUGAACGUGUAUUUGCGUAAUUUAUAAAAUCUUUUUAAUGUAUUAACUCUUAUAAACUAUUUCCUCAUCAACUAAAUCUUUAUAAAAAUGAAUAAAUGUAUGCAAAUUAAUUUGAA